ensembl:snRNA U6 U6 spliceosomal RNA
GUGCUUGCUUCGGCAGCACAUACACUAAAAUUGGAAGAAUACAGAGAUUAGCAUGGCCCCUGCACAAGGAUGACAUGCAAAUUCGUAAAGUGUUCCAUAUUUUU